rnacentral:rRNA from 1 species
CACGGGGGGAGCAAGCGUUGUUCGGAUUCAUUGGGCGUAAAGGGCUCGUAGGUGGCUCUGUAAGUCGGAGGUGAAAGACCACGGCUCAACCGUGGAAACGCCUUCGAAACUGUGGAGCUUGAGGCUGGGAGAGGAGAUCGGAAUUCCUGGUGUAGCGGUGAAAUGCGUAGAUAUCAGGAGGAACACCGGUGGCGAAGGCGGAUCUCUGGACAUUUCCUGACGCUGAGGCACGAAAGCCAGGGGAGCAAACGGG